ACUUCUGACGUCAAGUGAUCUGCACGCCUCGGCCUCCCAAAGUGGUGGGAUUACAGGCAUGAGCCGCCAUACCCGGCCACAACAUUUGUGAUUUCUCUAGCAGACUUUGUCACUCUUAUUUUCUGAUUUGUCAGCUUUAUACUAGGGAGAAACACCUUCAUCCAUUGUGAUCUGUUUAUGUAAAAGAAAGUGCCAAAAUGCUAGAAAAAUUAUUAGCAUUAAAAUUCUCUCUCAAUAGUGAUUCAUUUUUCUACCACAGCACAACCCAGAUUUAUUUUUUUCAAAGUUAUAUGAGAAAUCUCCCAUCUUUGUGAUUAGUAAACUCAUGAUAAAUAAAAAAAUAUUUAUUCUACACAUAUUUUUAAUAUCUUGAAAAUUUUAAUCAGUCCUCUUACUUGGGUUCUAUACUGAGAAACUUGGGUAAUUUAACAAAAUACAAUUCAUUUCCUAAAUCGGAGUUGAUACUGGGAAUUUCUUCUUCUAUUAUGGUUUCAGAAAUUGGCUCUUCCUCCUGCUGGUCCUGAGGCACUCCAUGUUCAUCCUAAGAAAGGAAUCAGAAUGUGAGAACUUGAAGACAUUAGAAAUGUGCUAGCUUUACUCGUCCUGCACUAGGCAGAUGCAGGUUUGACAGGAAGUAAUGUUUUGUUUGUUUGUUUGUUUGUUUUUUAUAGAGUCUUCACUCUGUCACCUAGGCUGGAGUGCAGUGGCGUGAUCUCGGCUCACUGCAACCUCUACCUCCCUGGUUCAAACGAUUCUCCCGCCUCAGCCUCCUGAGUAGCUGGAAUUACAGGCCUGCACCACCAUGCCUGGCUAAUUUUUGUGUUUUUAGUAGAGACAGGGUUUCACCAUGUUGGUCAGACUGGUCUCAAACUCCUGACCUCAGGCGAUCUGCCCACCUUGGCCUCCCAAAGUGCUGGGAUUAUAGGCGUGAGCUAGCGCGCCUGGCUGCGAAGUAAAUUUACACUCCACUUUAGGGACAAAACAGUCAGCAAUUCUUCCAAGCUUCUCCCUAAAACCUCACCUCAUGCCUACAAAAAGCAAAACAGGCUGGGCGUGGUGGCUCAUGCCUGUAAUCUUUGAAACUUCGUCUCAAAAAAAAAAAAAAGCAAGACAAAACAAAACAAAAAAAACAUGGGAAAACAGGAUCCGUUAGCCAACAUUAGUAGAAAAAAGUAUCUAUUUUAUUGACGUAUUUUGCAUAACAUAUUCAGCAAUAGAAGUAUGAAAUUAUUCACCCCAUCAAUACUAGACAACUAUUAAAAUCAGAGAAUGUCAGCAUCGCUCAUGCUUCUUGUCAUAGGCUUGAAUAAGAAAAACCUUUAAAUCAAAGGUUUUUAUGUUAUAUAUUAUAUUUUUAUAUUGUUUUAUAUUAGUCUAGCCCCUAAAGUUUGGCAUCAGCUUUAUUCUGAGUAGUUCCUUCUGUGCCUUCUUAUAUCCAGAAAUUCCCAAUAUAGCUAAGAAAGUCACCUAUUCAUCAGAUGUUUGGCUAUCCACAUCCUCUCUCAACAUGAGACAGACCCAUCAGCCUCUGAAGCUUUCUUUUUUUAGCUUUGAAUAAUGGGAUUGGUUGAUAUUGGUGAUUGUACUUACAACCAGCUGUCGUGGAGUAGGUGGUUGAUUGCCUUCAUCACUCUCAGAAGAAAUGUCGUCUAUAUCUCCAAACAGAUCCAUGGUCCCACUAGGAUCUUUGGUGUUGGGGGAAAAUGCACAGUAGUAAUUUUUCCAACUAAAGUUCUUAUACACAGUUCUUGGUCCACCACUUCAACAUAGUCCCAAGCUUCAUAAAACAAAUCUCCAUUAAACCAACCUCAAACUGGCUCCCUAAGCCAGGUUCUCAGAAGCUUAACUAACUAGAGUGUCUUUGGAGAAAGAAAGAGGCAGCGUUGGUGGGUGAAAGAUCAGAUACCAUCAGCAUAAUGUCAUCGCUGCAGUGGACCAGUGUGACAUGUGGAACAUCAAGAUGGUCAGGAGUUUUUGCAGACUCCAUAUGGCAAAGUAUAUAGAGGGAGAUCUGGAGAUACUGAGACCCGGAACAGAGACACGAGGAAGGUCAUGUGAAGACAGAGGCAGAGACGGAAGUCAUACUGUCAAAAGCCACAGAUUGCCAGGAACUACCAGAAACUGAGAGGCAAGGAAGGAUCCCUGCCAAGAAUCUUCAGAGGCAGCAUGGCCCUCCCACAGCUUGAUUUUAGACUCCAAGUCUCCAGAAUUGUGAGAGAAUCUCAGCCUGGCCAGAAGGCUUCUUUGUGGGGAAUGAGAGGUAAGGGGGUUGAGAGAGCAGCAGGAAUUCACUGAGACCUAAGACUUUGUGUAAAGCAUUAACAAAAUCAGUUUGCUUUGGGAAAAGUAGAUUCUUUUUUUUUUCUUUUUUCUUUUAUUUUUUUGAGAUA